GAAGAAGUUUGGCAUAGGAUCAGGUUGUCAGGUCAACAGGCAUUUGUUAAGCUCCUUCAAUGUGUUAAGUGCUGGGAAUGAACAGAAAAGAAGAGGAGAAGUGAAGAGAGGGGAAGGGAAGGGGAAGGAGAAAAGGUACAGGAAAGGAGGAGAGGGAUGGAGAGAGGAGGGGAGGGGAGAGGAGAGAAGAGAAGAAAAGGACUUCUGAGAUCAUGAGUUUUGUUGUUGGCAUUUUUCAUCUACCCACAUCUAAUGAGUCAAAUGAAUAAAAUACAGAAAGACUCCA
rnacentral:lncRNA from 1 species